CAGUCGCCACGGUAAUACGAAGGGGGCUAGCGUUGCUCGGAAUGACUGGGCGUAAAGGGCGCGUAGGCGGCGAUCAAAGUCAGGCGUGAAAUUCCUGGGCUCAACCUGGGGGCUGCGCUUGAUACUUGGUUGCUUGAGUGGGGAAGAGGGUCGUGGAAUUCCCAGUGUAGAGGUGAAAUUCGUAGAUAUUGGGAAGAACACCGGUGGCGAAGGCGGCGACCUGGACCUUGACUGACGCUGAGGCGCGAAAGCGUGGGGAGCAAACAGGAUUAGAUACCCGCGUAGUCCCUGUCUCUUAUAC
rnacentral:rRNA from 1 species